AGCUCCAAUAGCGUAUAUUAAAGUUGUUGCGGUUAAAAAGCUCGUAGUUGGAUUUCGGCGGGCAGGGGGCGGUUCUGUAAUUUGCAGCUACUGCCCCAUUUGCCCGUGAUCACUGUGGCGGAGGCUCCGGGGUGCUCUUGACCGGGUGUCCCGGGGUGCCGUCAGGUUUACUUUGAAAAAAUUAGAGUGCUCAAAGCAGGCUUUACACGCUUGAAUAUUCGUGCAUGGAAUAAUGGAAUAGGACGUCGUUUCUAUUUUGUUGGUUUUCGGAAAUCGACGUAAUGAUUAACAGGGACAGUCGGGGGCAUUAGUAUUCAGACGACAGAGGUGAAAUUCUUGGACCGUCUGAAGACUAACUACUGCGAAAGCAUUUGCCAAGAAUGUUUUCAUUAAUCAAGAA
rnacentral:rRNA from 1 species